UGUCAAUGUCAUCGCUUCAAAGAAGGGUUGUACCCCAUCACAGCUAGCAUUGGCCUGGGUGCAUCAUCAGGGAAACGAUGUUUGUCCCAUUCCUGGCACCACCAAGAUUGAAAACCUCAAUCAGAAUAUAGGAGCUUUGUCUGUAAAACUGUCUGCGGAAGAUAUGGAUGAACUGGAAUCCAUUGCUUCAGCUGGAAUAAAGGGUGAUAGACUUCCCCCUGGCUUUGAUAGUUGGAAAACCUCUGAUACUCCACCUCUGUCAACGUGGAAGGCCACAUGAAUACUGCCUUUGUUAUGCUAACAAUUCAUGUAGCUAUCUAUCUGAAUAAUGCAUUUUCACUGUUGUUGAGGGCUGAGUGAAUUGUAACUGUUCCAAUAAACUGCAACCUAAUUCAUAGUAUUGUGUUGAGGGUUGAUUCAUUUUACAGCUAUCUUAUACGAAGUUAAAAACUUGAGGUUGUAAUGGAUAAAAAUCUGGUCAAGCAAACAAAUUGCUUGCUGGUCUUGUUGCAGGACAAGCCAACAGUACCCUUGCUGCUGUUUGAAUAAGAUGUUUAUCUGGUGUAUUUCUGAACAUCUAAAGGGUCCUGUUAUUUAGAUUAUAUAACGGCAGAAAUGAUGCCUCAUACCUCUUUGAAACCUAUAAAUUGCUGAAAGGGAUUCAGUUUGUUAAGUAGUGAAGAGAUGCUGUAUUUUUAAAUGUUGUCUGUUGUCUUCCCUUUAGAAUUUUAAAAGACAAAAAGUGUCACCAAUAAAAAUACAUACUUGAGCUGUAAAUACUAUAGGUUGCUUCUUUAGAAUUUUUUUUUUUAAAAAAAAUCAUGUUCAUAUAUUUUUUUUAAAUUGCCUUCCAGAUUGGAGAAAGUUUUUAAUUAAUGGCCAAAUAAUUAAAUCCAUAAAGCACGUUAGAAAAAAGGUACAUGAAGCUAUAAAGCAUUAAUAUACAUUUGUCAAAACUCAUUUAAUAAUUUAACCUGCAGUAUCUCGAGAAGAGAAGCACACCUCGUCAAGUAAUUGUCAUUUUAAUGCAUCAAAAUUAAGUUCUUUAGGUGAAUAAUCAGAAAAACCCAUGCAGAAAAAUGCUCUAAAUUACUUUUAUUACCAUUAAGCCAGUAUCCAAAUGGUUGGACGCGUCUCAUUCGGAUUGCGUCUCAUUUGGACGCGCCUCAUUUGGUCAGAAUGUUCCUCAACAUCAAUCCAAGUGUUCAGACAGUUUUUGAAUUUUUAAACACCAUUUAGAUGGCAAUUAAUUGUCAAAAACAUGUAAAGGUGCCAAAUAAAUUUGAACAAUUUCUGAACAGUGCAAGACAAUGAUAAGUCUUAUGGUGGAUCCUAAGACGGGCUCCCGUCUUGCAAUUGAUCAAAUUUUGAAAAUAUUUAACGUUGUAUUUGCUAAUAAAUAGUUAUAAACAAACAUGUCUAGAAGCAGAUUUGCAGAAAAUAAGAUCAACUGCCAAAUUUAUUACUCUCUUUCGUUUUCCAUUAUCACUUUUCUCAUUUGGCCACUUUUUUCCAAUGUUAUAUUAUUAGUUAAAUUUUAAGCGAAAAGUUCUUUACGGAAUUUUUUUCAUUUUAUUUUUUUCCUCCUUUUCUUUAUCAUAUUUAGACUUCUUUUUCCUCCCCCUCUAUUCGUAUUAUGACAUACAAAUUUUUAUAAUAAUGUGCUAAAAAAUUUUCUAUUAUAGUUCAAUACAAAUUGUUAGUUUUUAACUAAAAGAAUUUAAUCAUAAUCAUUAUUAUAAGAAAUUAAAAAGCAUGAGAAAAAAGAAAUUAAAAAACAUAUAUUUUUAUAUAAGAAACUUAAGUAUUUCACAUUUGUAUUAACAAUUUCUUAGUAUGUAUUAAUUGUUAGCUAAAUAUCAUGAUGCAUUAUCUUUUAAAAUAUAGAAGUUACACAACAGACUUUUACAAAAUAUAUACUUUAUAAUUUAAAAUAACUUAUGAUACUUAAAUAUUUGACAUAACAAAAAUACUUACUUAAGCCUUAAAUGAAAUUGCAAUUACCCCUUAUUGGCAGUUUCUUUUAAGGCUUAAAUAUGUAUUUUCAUUAUGUAAAAUAUUAUAUCGUCAUAAACUAUUGCAAAAAUUAAAAUGUAGAUAUUUUGCAAAAUUAUGUUUCAUAAUUCUAUAUAUUACUCAUUAAUAACUAAUGCAUCAUGACAUUUAGCUAAAAACUAAUACAUAAUAGAAACUGCAAGUAUAUGCAAAAUACUUAAAUUUUUUUAUAUAAAGCAUAUGCUUUUUAAUUUCUUAUAUAAUGAUUAAAUACUUUUAGUAUAUGUAUUUAACCAUAAAAGAAAAUUCUUUAGCACAAUAUUGUUAAAGUUUAUAUGCAGUAGUAGGAGUAGAGGAAGAAGAAAAAGAAAUCUAAACGUAAUAAAGAAAAGGAAGAAAAGAAGAAAGAGAAAAUUAAAAAAUAUAUAUAAUGAAAUACAAUAAGGGAUUGUCUUUAUUUGCCCCAUAAAUUUGACCUUUAAUCAUCAGGGGUAUUGUGUAUGUUUCAUGAUUACACAGAUAAUUUGCUACUAAAUUAUAAUUACAGAGGAACAACUUGUACUUAAGCCAAAAAGGGAAAAAAAAAAGGCACGAUAAGUAGUCACUUGGAGGCCUCCCUGGGUUCGAAUCCUCAACUUUAGUUACGUUGAAGAUUAUGUGGCAGGACUCCAAAUUCACUGAAAUGUUCACCACAAUACUUUGCGAUGCAGAAAACGAAAGCAAAAAAGACAAAAUCGAAAAAAAAAGAGGAAAUGUAGGAAGUUAAAUCAAGCCAUUAUGUUUUAGUAUUAAUAAUUAAGUGGUGGUCUACAUACCACAUUGUCAUUGGUUAUUCGAUACAAGUGUUAUUAUGUCUGUUGAUUGCAUGGAAAAGGUAAUUAGAGCCAUGAUUGAGUUUAAGUUCGAGUGCUGUGUAUGUGAGAAGAAAAUUUUCCUUUGCCUCUUUAAUCGAUUUGUUGAGAAUUUUUCUGUAGAUUUAUGCCAUGAUUGUUUAUCGAUUUCAGUUCAUCAGAAAUUGCUUACCUUUGCACUCACAUCAUCCAAGUCCCAAUCAAAUGUUCCAAAGGAGACAGAUGCCAGCUACUAUUCCACUUUGUAUUAUUUCUUUGUCUCGAUACUAAAUUAUCCUACGGGACUUUAUCUUGUCCUAGUUAUUGUUUGAGAGAAUAAAAUUUAUACACAAUAUCUUCACUUUCUAUUUCCUAUGACAAUUAAAACGUAGAAUUUUUCAACCUUCACAUUUGAGAAUGAAGGUUGGGUUAAUAAAUAGCAGAGCUUAGGAUCUGAAAUAUUUCUUAUUUAGUGUGUUGUGGACACUCUUCUUCUGCUCCUCAAGUACUGUUUCCUCUGUGUCUGGUUUUUGUCUGAAAAUGGCAUCGUCAGUAGUAGAAGAAGUGAAAGUGCCAAGAAUCAAGCUGGGCUCGCACGGUUUUGAAGUUUCAGCUCAGGGAUUGGGUUGCCUGGGGAUGUCAGCCUUCUACGGGCCGCCAAAGCCCGAGCCCGACAUGAUCAAAGUUAUUCACUAUGCUAUCAGCAGAGGCAUCACUCAUCUUGACACCUCCGAUUUUUAUGGACCCCAUACCAAUGAAUUACUUCUCGGGAAGGUACUAAUCCCACCAUCUUUUGUUGGUUGUACAUUAUGGUUUUCAGCUUGUACCUUGAUCAUCAUUCUCUCUUCAAUGAUUUGAACUUUAAAAUGAUGGCAAUAGAUUAUACAGUGGUAAAACAGGAAACGGUGCUCCCCAGUUGAAUUCUAGUUGUUGUGGUUUUUAUUACAUUUGGUACAAACUUGCAGUGAAUUUUACUCCUACUUAGUUGUACAAGUUAACAAAUUUCAUGAUUACAUCAAAAUUCUACGAAAUGUUAUAAGAAUUACAUAAAUUGGAUAGAUGUGAAUAAAAUUCAAUCGGAGAGGCUCUAAAUCCAAUAGAAUAAUUCCUGUCGAUCUUCAGUUAAUUUAUAAAGGAAUUGACAUUAGGCACUCUAUUAUAUAAUUACAUCUUCCUUGACAUUUAUUAGCAUUCUAUAUUUUUCAAUGGCACCACUUGACUUUUAGGGUUUGUGGAAAGACAACAAUAUGCCUACAUGUUAUGUAUCCUCUAAAGAGUUCGAGAGAAGAAUUUUUGGAUGUAAUUACUAUGGAGCUUAAAAUGCUAAGAGUAGAAAAAAUUCAAGAGAAAAAUAGUAUCCUAAGGUAAGAUUAGGAGAGGUUAUGAUUCCGUAAACCGGCUAUACAUUCAGUCCGGUUCAAUAGUUAACUCAAAAAUUGAAUUGACCUGUUAUAUCUGGUCAAGAACCAGUUGGAUUAGUAAAAAUUGGGAGGUUCAAUUGGAUUUCACUGAUUUUUUUUAUUUAUUUAAAACCAAUAUUUUAGUUUUAUUCAGAUUUUUAAUAUUAAAAUAAAUAAAUAAUGAUUGAACCUUUAAACUAAGGUUGAACCGGUCGGAUUAAUUGAAACGCAAACUGAAAGCUCUUUCGACUCGCUCUCCAAUACAGAUUUAAAAGCAUUGUAAAUAGGUUGAUAAGUAUAUGAUUGUUUUGUGUUCAGAAACCCAGAAUAAAAAAAAUUUCCAAUUUUCCUGAGUCUCAUAGAAUAUAGUAUUGAUUACAUUUUUGUACCCAGAAAGAGUAGGAAAAUUUUGCUAAAGUGGUUAAAGUUCGCUGCUAGUAAUAAUAUAGUCAAAGUUGACAUUUUUAAGAGAGCAUAUAUUUCUGCUGUUUCAUAAUGGAGGAGGGUGAUACGAAAAUUAAUCCCAACAGUUUCUGUUAAGGAGUUAUUACAAGAUUAACAUGUUUUAAUUUGUGUCCCGGAUGAUUAAUGUUGUGAAAGAAUGAGUAUAGGCUUUGAAGGAAGGAAUACGACAGAAAGUGGAGCUAGCAACAAAGUUUGGAAUUAGACCUGUGGAUGGAAAGCUGGAGAUUUGUGGUGAUCCAGCAUAUGUAAGGGCUGCUUGUGAGGGUAGCUUGAAAAGACUUGGAGUUGACAGCAUUGAUCUCUACUAUCAGCAUCGCAUCGAUACAAGUCUGCCCAUCGAAGUCACGGUUCGCUCUGCUAUCCUUCUGUGUUUUUAUCUUUCUUUUAUGCUUGAUGAAGUGUAACUAGUUCAUCAAUGUUAUGAAUGAGUUAAGCAGCACAAAGUUGUGGAAUAAGGAGUUUUUUACAUCUUUGGAUGUGUUGCACUAAAUACGGUAAAAAUUUGAUAGAACAUUGUUGCCUAAUGAUGCAUGGCAACAGAUUAAAAUGCAAAUAUCUACUUGUUGAAUUGGUUUACACAAAUCACUCUGUCUUUUCUCUAGGAACAUGCUUUGAUAUAUGAGUGAAGCCAAUUCAAAUAUGACAAAAUGCUUGUUCUAAUAUGUUCUGCAGUGCUACGGCAAGCCAGAAGACACCAAUUACUUCACAAUCCUAUUUGAACUCAGGCUCAUUCAUUUGAGAUCCCUAAAAUUUGUCCAUUUACCAUGAAUUGAAGCUUUGGGCUUUUAAAUCUCCUUUCUGAUUCCAAUAGAAUCUUGCAUGCUUGUGAACUGUGGUGUCGCUUUAAUUACAAAUACAUAUGCAGAGCAACUAUCUUAAACUCACUGCAGAUGGGACUACUGUCAAAUAGCACCAAGUGCGAUCAUUCUAGUUCUGUGCAACAUAUGUUGCAAGUGGCUUAAAUCAAUACAAAGGCAAUUUUUAUAGCAUCGACUAGUCAUUCUUUAUCCACUAAAAGAUGUGACAUGAUAUAUAGGAGGAAUGGAACAGAAGAAAUUUAACCAAUCGAUUGAAUACCAUUGUAUAUGUAAUGUUUUCAACUUCAUGUAUAGUUAGUAAAAGUUGUGCCAAUACAAUGGACUACUAAUACUUUCACUCAUACACUACAAAAUUCCAAUUAUCUGCCUUGGGAUGAUUAAUACUAAAUGAGCUUCAUAUGAUAGUAUUUGCUCCUUCAAAUUCUUUUUUUUUUUUUUUCUAGAUAGGAGAACUUAAAAAACUGGUUGAAGAGGGUAAAAUCAAGUAUAUAGGUCUAUCUGAGGCCUCAGCUUCAACAAUCAAAAGAGCACAUGCUGUUCAUCCAAUAACGGCUGUACAGUUGGAGUGGUCAUUGUGGACAAGAGAUGUAGAGGAAGAGAUUAUUCCUACUUGCAGGUAGUUACAUAUUGUUCUGCUUCACUUUCAAUAUACAAUAGUAUGCAUUUGUAACUUCAUCUUCUGUUUUUUCAGAGAACUUGGCAUAGGAAUUGUAGCAUACAGUCCACUUGCACGAGGAUUCUUCUCAUCAGGUCCAACGCUGAUUGAGAAUUUUUCUGAAGGUGAUUUCCGUAAGGUUUGUCCAUGACCAUAAAGAUUAUGAGUAUCUUAGCUCCAAACACUAAUAUAAAGUUUGUCAUUAGAGAUUAUGAGCUAAAAUCCUUACGUUCAAAUCUCAUCAUUUAGAGUCUGUAUAUGCAGAAUUUGCCGAGGUUUCAAUCAGAGAAUAUGGAGCAUAACAAGAACAUGUACGAGCGUGUCAAUGUCAUUGCUUCAAAGAAGGGUUGUACCCCAUCACAGCUAGCAUUGGCCUGGGUGCAUCAUCAGGGAAACGAUGUUUGUCCCAUUCCUGGCACUACCAAGAUUGAAAACCUCAAUCAGAAUAUAGGAGCUUUGUCUUUAAAACUGUCUGCAGAUGAUAUGGCUGAACUGGAAAGCAUUGCUUCAGCUGGAAUCAAGGGUGACAGACUUCCCCCUGGCUUUGAUAGUUGGAAAACCUCCGAUACUCCACCUCUGUCAACGUGGAAGGCCACAUGAAUACUGCCUUUGUUAUGCUAAUAAUUCAUGUAGCUAUCUAUCUGAAUAAUGCAUUUUCACUGUUGUUGAGGGCUGAGCGAAUUGUAACUGUUCCAAUAAACUGCAACCUAAGUGACAGUGUUCUGUUGAGGGUUGAUUCAUUUUAGAGUUAUCUUAUACAAGGUAAAGAACUUAAUAUAGAGGUUGUAAUGGAUAGAAAUCUGGUAAUGUAAAAAAAUUGCUGGCUGGUCUUUUCGCAGGACAAGCCAACAGUAGUACUUCUGCAUCUGUUUGAAUAAGAUGUUUAUCUGGUGUAUUUCUGAAUAUCUAAAGGGUCCUGCUAUUUAGACCGUAUAACGGCAGAAAUGAUGCCUCAUACCUGCAACUUAAACCAAUAAACGGAACCUACGCUAUAGAUGGCUUCUUUAGAAGUUCAAAAGAACAAAAAAAGGUUCAUAAUUCUCAUUUUCUAUGCAUGUGUUCUUUUCAAAAAGAAAAAGUAACUGAAUUAUUAAAAAAAAAAAAAAGGACAACAAUGUAUUGACUGCAAUGAGCAGAAAUCAAUAGCUUUUUCUUCAACUGUAGUUGCAUGUUAAUUGGAUCUACAACAAAGCUGGUAAGCUAUUUAGUUUAGCUGCUAUAUAUAUAAAAGAAAUUAUUCAUUGUUUGUCAAACUAUUAAAAGCUCGUUUGGAUUAGUUGUUUUUGGGAGUGUUUUUGAAAAAUUUUAUUGUAGCAGAGUUUUUAGAGUAUAUUUUGGGAUAUUUUUAGAAUAUAUUUUGGGAUAUUUACAAGUAGAAGAGUUUCUAGAAUAUAUUUUGAAAUAUUUUUUAAAAUUUUAAAAAAAUUAAAACUAAGUUUUAAAUUACUUUUUAGAGUACUUUUUAAAAAUUUUUAUUGUAUUUGAAAAACUAAUUUUUGAAAAACACUCCUUUUCUAACAUUUGAUGUUGCAGUUGUCGUCAUUAUUUCAUUUUUCACUUUGAAUUUUUAUAUUUCGCAAGUUUGUCAUAAUUUCUUUAGGAGUAAUAGAGCUUACAAAAAAUUACUUUUGGAAAAUUAAGCACCCAAUAUAAUGUUAGAAAAGAAACAGGAAUUUGCUUACCUUUGGGCCUACAUCAUCCUUAUACGUAGACAUGCCCCUGGCUGCAGGGCUAUGUCAGCCUUCUUCGGGCCACCCAAGCCCGAAUUUGACGUGAUCAAACUCAUCCAUUAUGCAAUUCAACAGAUGCAUCGCUCAACUGUUGGAGGCCUCCCUGGGUUCGAAUCCUCAACUUUAGCGAUGUUGAAGAUUAUGUGGCAGAACUCCAAAUUCACUGAAAAAUUCACCACAAUACCUUGCGAUGCAGAAAACGAAAGCAAAAAGACAAAAUAUAUAUAUAUAUAUAUAUAUCUUUACUAUACUAAAAGCGAGAGUUAGGAUUGCUACAGUGAAAAUGGAUCGGUUAUCCUGUGAUUGUUGUGACUUUGAGGGACGUUUUGGUCUUUUGCCAUUCGGUAGUAGUGGCUUUGCUGGAAAUUCGCUGCUGUCCGUGUGGCCUUGUUUCCUCUGAUUCUUAGCAAUUUAGGCGGUGAGUUCACUGCUGUCCGCGUGGCCUUGUUCCCUUCAUUCUUUCCGUGGCCUUCUCUACCAGGUGUUUCUACUUUUAGUACAAGGGAACCUUGCACUCAGUUGCAAGCUGCUGCCCGGUUGAUUUUUAAGUCCAGAGGGUCCUCCUAUUUUGGAAAAAAAAAAAAAAAAAAUGAAGGAAUCCCGUGGUCGUGUAAACAUUUUUUUUUUUUUUUGCAAAAGGAUAAACUUUCUUCAUAAAAAAAAUGCAAUUUAAGAAAUGGAUUAUAGUUUUUAAACUUUUACAGGAGUCCCAAUUUUUCUUUCGAGCAUGAAAAAAUGAUUCUAUAAAUACAUAUUUUCGGAUUUUAAACAUGAGUUUGUUACCAAAAAUAUGAAGGAAUCUCGUGGGUGUAAACAUUUUUUUUUUUUUUUUGCAAAAGGAUAAACUUUCUUCAUAAAAAAAAUAUGCAAUUUAAGAAAUGGAUUAUAAUUUUUAAACUUUUACAGUAGUCCCAAUUUUUCUUUCAAGCAUGAAAAAUUGAUUCUAUAAAUACAUAUUUUCGGAUUUUAAACACGAGUUUGUUACCCCAUUUGUAAAAUAGAUCCACCGCCUAAAUUAUGGGCAACUUCGAUGGCUUUUGCAUCCGUGCUUCAGUUGUGUGUUUGGUCAACUUUGGUGGCUUUUGUGUUUGUGCUUCAGAGUUCAGAUGUGUAUUUGUAUCUUCAUUGUAUAGUUGUAGUUGCUUCAGCUCCCCUGGUGAGUGGGCGGUGGGUGGUGUCCGAACUCCGAAGCGGUCUGUGGGAGCCGCACAAAGCUCUCUUGCCUAUGUAAUCUUGAGAGAAAGCCAUCUGAAAAGCAACAUAUUGGAUGUGUUUCUUUCUCCAAUUGAAGACCUGGAUUUGAUGGUUUUACAAGGUGAAGUUUUCGCACUCUCACCUAGCUGAUCUUGUGAGCAAGCCAUCUCAAAAGCAAUUUCUUCUUCCAAUUAAAAGCUUCGGGUUCCAUAAUUUUGCGAGUUGAACUCUUUCUUUAUUUCUGCCUUUUGGCCCUUUUUUUCCUUAUAAUGUGAGGUCUAAUGAGUCCAAAUGUUUGUUCAAAUCAUUGCAAUGGUUCACCGAAGGGUGUUAAAAAUUUUAGAGAAAUUUUAUAGGUUUCAACUGUUGUGAAAUGGGAGCCACUGUUAGACUUGCUAUGGCCAUCUUGCUGCAUGAUUAUGGUUUUUCUGGUGAUCAGUUUUUAUGUUUUUGUCCCACUUGAAAGAAUUUGCAGAACAAUUGAGUGCAUAUGAGGUAUCUACAGGGAUUUUUCUAAUGCAUUGAUUACGCAUUGUAAGUACGGUUUUGGCCUCAAUAAAGGCCUAUCUGUCCUUCAAAUUUCUUUCAUUUGAUAUGAAUGUGUAUCGUCUUUGUUGGGUAUAUUUACUUAGACCAAGUGAUGUCAUCCUGUAUUUUACAAAAUUAUAUCUGUCAGUUGUACUUGUUUAACCUAGCACAAGUUAAUCACUUCUAUGGCAUGGUGAAAGUAGAGAUUGAAAGUAAAACGACAAGAGAUCCCAUCCAAUUAAUGAUCUUUUUCUUGGUUGAUUAGGUAAUUGUUGAUCAUUCAUUUUUUAUCUGCUCUAAAUUAAAGGUAAGCAUAUCUCCGGUCCAGCAUCACUUGUAUGCACAAAUUCAUAAUACUCGCAUGUAGGAUCAAGUUUGCUCUUAUGCAAUUAUGUCUUGAUGUCUUGUCUUGUUGAAUUAAAAUUACUGGCUACUCUCUAAGGCCAUUAAUUUCAGAGUAAGAUUAUUAUGGAAUUUACUGGCUUGCCCAAUUUGGACCAUGUAACAACCUAUUACAGUUAGUUUAUCUUUAUUGUUCUAGCAAAAAAAAUCUCGUUGCAUUGACUGUUAGAUCGUUGAUAAUUUUGCAGUUAUGAAAUACUAAUAUAUCAAUACUAAUAUAUCGUAUCGAUAUCUCACGUUAAGUCAAUUAGUAGUCCAAGUCCAGUAGGUACAAAAAUCUCUUCAGCAUCAUAAAUAAAUUGAGUAAACAAAUAACGAUAAUAACCAAUUUACCUAAAGUCAAAUUCCCCAUAGUUACUAGCACCCAUCAUGUAUUUAAUAUAUAACCAUUUUAUAUUAAUUCACUUGCCUUCAUUUGAUCUUCUUUAACAUAGAUCCAGGGCAACCUCACGCAUCGCGUGAGGCUGAAAAAAACUAGUAUAUAGGAAAUGUAGGAAGUUAAAUAGAGCCUUUAUGUUUUAGUAUUAUUAAUUAAGUGGUGGUCUACAUGUUAUGUUAUGCUGUCAUUGGUUAGUCUAUGUAAGUGUUAUUAUGUCUAUUGUGUGUUGGUUGCAUGGAAUUAAAUCCCUUCAGUCCCUUCAGUGUUGAAGGCAAUUAGAGCUGUGAUUGAGUUUAAAUGUUUGUUUAUCGAGUUGAGUCCGUCAGGAAAUUGCUCACCUUUGCACUCACGUCAUCCAAGUCCCAAUCAAAUGUUGCAAAGGAAAUAGAUGCCAACUACUUUUCCACUUGUUUGAAUUGACUUAUAUUAUUUCUUGAGCAAAUUACACUUUACUCCAUGUAGUUCAGUAUUUUUGUACAUAACCCCUUAUAGUUUCAAAAAUUAUACAUAAUCCUCUCAUAGUUUGGAUCAAAGUGUUAAAGUAACAGAAUUUGUAAUCCAUAACGGAGUCACCUAAAAUAUUAAAUGACAGGUGUCGAGCCAGUGCAAUAAUAAAAAUAGAACCUAACUACCACUAAAAGUAGUCAAUAAUUAAUCCUAGGUACUGGAGCAGGGACUCUAGGUGUGCAAUGGGUUACUUGAUUCACUCUGUUCCCGAAGAGUUUGCUUAAUUCGAUAUACCAGAAUUAAUUAGUUAACAAAAAUUACUAAACAGUAGACAGUGGCAAGUAGGGUCGUCUCCUCAGGGACUGGGGAUAUUUGUCUCUUUGAAAUUCCAAUUGGUAAAGGGGGAUUUUAUCGGAACGAAACUAAAAACAAUUAAGCAAUUCAACUAAAAAUAAAUAAUUAACUAGCACAAAUAUAGCAGGAAUUAAAUCAAGAAUAGAUAAAUUCUAGCCAAGGAUACAACUACUCAGACACAGUCCAUUUAUCCGAUCAUUGAUGCAAGAGAGGUUCACUUAAUUUAUUAAUAGGCUAGUUAUAGUCGCCGAUGAAAUCUAACGACAAAUUUUUCCUUAAUUUAUUGAUAACCAAGGUACGACCAUUGAUUACCCCUAACCAGAAAAUACUCCUAGGUACGACCGUAGGAAUUAAUUUCCCAAUUGCAUUAAGAACUAGAAAAACCUAACCCUAAUCAAUAACACGCUACGAGAGUUACUUAAAUUAGAUUGCACGUUCCCCUAGUGUGUAAACACGCCAGUUGCCACUAAUAUUAAUCAAUCAAAUAAUUACGGAUUUAAUUGACUAAAUUGGCAAGAGAUUAAUAAGUCACAUUGAACAUCGGGCCCUUGACAUCCAAUUAACAAAAUAAUCCCAUGAAAAUUCAAACAGACAACGUGCAAAUAUUAACAAAUUAAAGAACGCGUGAAAACUAAUUAGAUCUCACAGAUAUUCGGGACUGCGCCGUCGAAUUGAUCCUUGACUAGAUAAAAGGCUUAGCCACGCCGCAUAAAUAAAUCUCCACGCAAAUUAAUUGAUUGCAAAGGUAUCACGUUUUUCACUAGAGAGCAAGAAGUAAAAGAAAUUUUUCCCAUCGGAGAAUAUUGUCGAGCACCUCGUGCGUGUGAAAAAGGAAAAAGAAAGAAAAACUAAGACUAAAGCUAUGCUAAAACUAUUGAUAAGAGCUCUCUGUACGUCCGUUUCUUUUUUAAAGCCAAAGAUGACUAAUGCCUCCCCUAUUCUCCGUGGUCCCCACCGAAAUUGAAAGCAAAAGAGGAAUACAAGGGAUGGGGCUCUCCGAAUUUCUUUCUUAUUUCCUUCGGCUCCUAGGACUCUCGUAGCCCUCUCUUCAUCAGCUCAAAAAGGGGAAAAGGGAAAUCCUUUUGUUUCCUCUCUUGUGGGCCACGUUGAGGGAGCUUUGUAGAAGACUCCCACUUGUAAAGUAAUUUGCUUCAGAAGGUCUUCCUUUUUUGUAGUUUUCUACUCCAAUUUCUGAACUUAAUUCCAGAUACCAAAUAUAAGUAGAUAUUAAUAGUUAAAACAAUAUUUGGCGGGAAUAAAAGGAGAAAUUAAUAAUAAAAUAACCAACAAUUUACACCCUAUCAUGAAAAAUACCCCUAUAUAAAGUUGAAAAUUAUUUAUUAACAACAGGAGGGUUAUGUGUAUAUUUUGAAAACCAUAAGGGGGUUAUAUGGUAAAGUAUUAAACCAUAAGGGGGUUAUAUGAUAAAAUAUAAAACCAUACAAUAUUAGUGCAUCAUGUAUAUUAUAUUUAUAUAUUUGAGUCACUUCAGUCAUUUUAAUUUUUAAACAAGGGUAAUUUUGAUAUUUUCAAAGGUUUCAUUACCAUGAUCAUUUUCGUUACUUUGAUACUUUAAUCUAAAUCACGAGAAUGUUAUGUAUAGUUUUUGAAAUUAUAGGAGGGUUAUGUACAAAAAUACUAAAUCAUAGGGGCGUAAAAUGUUAUUUGCCCUUAUUUCUUUGUCUCAACAGUAGAUUAUUCUACGGAUUUUAUCUUGUCCUAGUUAUUGUUUGAGAAAAUACAAUUUGUACACAACUACUUCACUUUCUAUUUCCUAUCACAAUUAAAACGUAGAAUUUUUCAACCUUUCACAUUUGAAAAUGAAGGUUGGCUCCUCCUACACACUGGUGACACAUAGCCGCAUUUUGAUACCGCUACCGCUAAGGAGUCAAAAAAAUUGAAAAUUUAGAUCUAUAUCCAACAGACUACACCUAGCCAAAAGGGGUAUUUUGUUUUUGCAAUUUGUAUUGAUUAAACAAAUUGUUGAAAUUUUCAAAGUAAUACACUCUCCUAGUGCCGCAUAUUCUUUGUGCUGAUCGAUGAUGAUUACAAUAUUAGGUAACUUUGUCAUAUAUUUAAUACCGUCCAAAUAUGUUCUAGCAAAGAAGCCCGUGCUUCUUUUGUUGAAAUAAUGACAAAUGGUUUGAUUCGAUAUUUCCUAAGAAUUGACUUGGUGAAGUAGAAUCAAAUAUACUACUUUAUCACCAGAAGGGUCAAUAAAUAGCAGAGCUUAGGAUCUGAAAUGUUUCUUGUUUAAGCCUUUAAGGUGUGUUUGUGGAUAUAUUCCAAUUCCAAUAGUACUCUUCCUCUGCUCCUCAAGCACUGUUUCCUGCGUGUCUGGUUUUUGUCUGAAAAUGGCAUCGUCAGUGGCAGAAGAAGUGAGAGUGCCAAGAAUCAAGCUGGGCUCACAAGGCUUUGAAGUUUCAGCUCAAGGGCUGGGCUGCAUGGGCAUGUCAGGCGUCUAUGGGCCGCCUAAGCCCGAGCCCGACAUGAUCAAACUUAUUCACUAUGCUAUUAGCAGAGGUAUCACCCAUCUUGACACCUCAGAUGUCUAUGGACCCCACACCAAUGAAAUCCUGAUAGGCAAGGUAACUUUAAUCAUAUUUGCAUGUUUUCCGCAGUUGUGCAGUGUGCAGGAACUCGUGUACUUUUAGUUUUGAAGAGAAGUAGUUGAGUAGAUUUGUAGCUUUAUAUUCAGGUAAAUUAUACUUAACCCCCUUUAAUACCUUAAUUAAAAACUUGAACCAAUCUUGUUCUUUGACUUUGAAAAGUAGUCACUCGGAUUUGUAAAUUUAUAUUCAGGUAAAUCACAUUUAAUCCCCGGCAAUUUAAAGCUUGAAUUAUUUUGUCCCCCUUAAUUUUGUUUGUCAGAGCCUGAAGUCCAUUUAUCAUUAUUAUGUGAGUAAAUUUUUUAUACACUGUCAAUGUGCAAUAUUUUUACACUAGUAGAUUUAAAUCAUGUCACAUAACAUGAAUUUAAAUUUGAAAUUCAAAUCUCGUAUAUGUGUGACAUACAUCCAUAAUUACUACUAUAUAAAAAUUACUACAGUGUUAUUGCAUAAAAAGGAAAUCUUUAUUCUAUUCGAAUAUUAACCAAGAAAAGAUGUAUUUGGACUGACAUUUUGAGGAGAGGAGAGGAGAGGAGAUAAUGGAAAGGAAGGAAGGAACAUGGUUGGCUGUUUUCCUUAAGUUUCAUUUCCAUCCAAAUGUGGACGGAGUUACACUUCCAUCUAGUGGCGAAGUCAAGACCUUUGUUCAGGGAAGUAAUAAUAUUAGUUUAUAUUUACAAUGUGUUGACUUGUAGAUUUUUCAUAUAACUAAAUAUUUACUAUAAAUACGCAAUUUUUGGUGUUACAUUUUUUUAUGAGAAGAUGCUGUUUCUUGUAAUUUAGUAUUUGCAAUAGUUACCAAGUUAUAUAAUGAUAUGAAAUUGUAUAUUAAUUAAAAUUAUAUAUAAGAUUUCAAGAUGUAAAUUCUAGUGCUUAUAGUAGGUGGACAAUGUACACAGAGUCCAAUUGAUGCUAACAUCUUUCGUUUCUGUUCAAUAGGAAGAAGUAGCAUAGUCUUAAGGAUGGGAAAAUUCAGACAGAUUGUGCCACGCAUGGAUCAUAAAUCAACUUGCUAUAACAUGCAAUAAUGUGUAUGUUCUCAAUGAUUGAUGUUAUGAAAGCAUGCUUUUAGGCAUUGAUGGAAGGAAUGAGGGAGAAAGUGGAGCUAGCAACAAAAUUUGCAGUGACUUUUGAGGAUGGGAAUUUUAAUAUACGUGGUGAUCCAGCCUAUGUGAGAGCAGCGUGUGAGGCCAGCUUGAAGCGGCUUGGUGUGGACUGCAUUGAUCUCUAUUAUCAGCAUCGCAUUGAUACACGUGUGCCCAUUGAAAUCACGGUUUGCUCCUUGUUUCCUUUCCUGAAUUUAAGCUACACCUCAUUCUUGAUGAAAUGAGAGUUUGAUCAAAGUAGUUGAAAUUUGAGGAGAAUAAUUGAGUUCCAUGUCUUUUGCAAUUGCUUCAAAAAUUGCAGAAAAAUGUUUGUUGCCCUUAUGGUCUAUGCUAAUUUGCACAAUCAUAAAGCUGAUAGCAGCGGCCAUCCCAAAAAUUACAAACAUCCAAAAUAGUUGUCUUAUAAUAGCUUGACAGCCCUGCUGAGGCCCUGAGAGAGAUACAGCUGGAUAUUAUACUAUAGAUUGUACACCUUUCCUUUAGAACCAGAAGACCUGUGCAUUCUGUCUUUCAUUUGAGAUAGGCUAUCUGAUUCAGUAUAGAUAUGCUAUUUAUCCACCUUAUCACUUCUUUUCAUUAUUUGAUAUCUUAAGUACAUGAUGCUCAUUUGUUAUUACACUGAACAUUUUGUAGAACGAUUUGUGUGUGGUCUUUUUAGUGCAGUCAGCAGAGAAUAUUUUACUUUUCCUGAAUAGCAGGAAGAAAUUUUCUUACAGUAUGAUUACUCAAAAUACAGGUAGUAUGAAUAAAAUCAAGAAAAAUUGUUGGCGUCCAAUUUUCAUAUGUACAGCUGUUAUUUUGUUUAGAAGAAGUCAACAAUGUCAUAUAAAUGAUAUUGGCCAAGAAGGCCUUGGUCUAGUGGCUCAGGUUGAGGCCUCAAGAUUUAGAAAUUUUGGGUUCUAAUCCCCCUUCCUUCCUCUCUGCUUCUUAAAUUCCACCCUUUUCCUGUUAGAAGAUAUUAAAAAAAAAAAAGAUAUUGGCCUUGCAUCAUAUUAUGCAUGGUGCAAUAGAGUUAGGUAACAAGGUGUCUAGAUAAGUGUUAUUGACUGUUUGUUGCCAUUUUUAUCAGAUGGUGCUUUCAGUUUGAUGUGUACUUAUGUCAAAGUUGUGCCACUGCACUGAACGAGUACUACUUUUAGUUUAUGCAUGUAUAAUUUCGAUUAUAUACCUUAGUAUGGAAUAUAAUAAAUCAGCUUGGAAUUUUCUUGUCCGUUUCUCCCAGAUAGGAGAACUUAAGAAACUGGUUGAAGAGGGUAAAAUAAAGUAUAUAGGUCUAUCCGAGGCCUCAGCUUCAACAAUUAGAAGAGCACAUGCUGUUCAUCCAAUAACAGCUAUACAGUUGGAGUGGUCAUUGUGGAGCAGAGAUGUCGAGGAAGAGAUCAUUCCCACUUGCAGGUAGUGCAUUUAUUCUGCUUCAUUUUCUACAUGGUCUGGAAGAAAUAUGAAGUUCUAAGUUCAUUUUGGUGUAAUCUUUUAGAGAGCUUGGCAUAGGGAUUGUUGCAUACAGUCCACUUGGACAAGGAUUCUUCUCUUCAGGUCCAAAGCUGAUCGAGAACUUGACUGAAGGUGACUACAGAAAGGUUUGUGAAUGUCCAAAAAGAUUAGUAAUAUCUAGUGUAGUAUAUUUAUAGUUAGUAUGAAAUCCUCAGUCAUCUAUGUUGCUUAAUAUCCCUAUUCUUGUCUAUCUGUUACAUGUUGCUGCACUAUUUGAUGUCCAAUAAUUUGGUUGGGCUUUUCUAAAACUAUCUAAUUUAAUUAACUUCUAUCCAACAGAGUGACAUAACAAGCUUUUUUCUAUCUGAAAAGUCUUGUAGUCUUGGAUUCCAUUAAAUGCAGUUCUUGGCAUUGUUAGAAACUGAACCUUCUGCACAGACAGGAUAGUAAUUGUGAGCUCUGUAUUUAGUUCGAAUUUGAAGAUAGCGCAAGCAGUGGGAGUGUUCUAUUUCAUGGUGCAAGAACAUCCUAGACAUGAAAAAAGGAAGAAACUAUGGCAUUUUUUAGUAAUAGUCUCUUUACAAUUUUGAGGGGAAACGGACUCACAUUGCAAUGUCAUCGUCUGGUCUUAGGGACAAAAGUUAUAUACUGUCCUCUCAAAUUGUUUUUUUUUUUUUUUCCCUUUUUCUAUACAUCCUCUAACUGAGUUUGGUUGGUCACAAGUUCACUUGAUAAUACUGUCUAGAUAGUAUGAAAAUGUAUUGGAUUUCCAUUUUGAGUUUCCUCUUUAAUGGGAAAUGUAUCUCAGGAUCUACCUUCUGCAAUUGAUGUUUCUUGGAGUACUCAAUCCACCUUACUGGAUUGUUCUUUCCCCUGAACUUUCUACGGCUCAAACAGUACUAUCGAUGAUCAUAUUGUCUUCAUUUGUUGAUGACACAUGCUUUAUUCCUUUUUUGAAUUUCUGGCAUUCUAGUUGCUUAAAUUUUGACAUUCAUUCAAUGCAGAAUAUGCCAAGGUUUCAAGCGGAUAAUUUGGAGCACAACAAGAAGUUGUAUGAGCGGGUCAAUGCCAUUGCUUCAAGGAAGGGUUGUACUCCAUCACAGCUAGCAUUGGCCUGGGUCCAUCACCAAGGCAAUGAUGUUUGCCCCAUACCCGGUACUACCAAGAUUGAGAACCUCAAUCAGAAUAUUGGAGCUUUGUCUGUAAAACUGUCCGCAGAGGAUAAGGCGGAACUCGAAUCUAUUGCGUCGGCUGGAGUCAAGGGUGAGAGAUACGGGCCUGAAAUUAGCACUUGGCGAAAUUCUGAAACUCCACCUUUGUCAACCUGGAAGUGCACAUGAAGAAGAGCAAGUUCGCUUUGAUAUUUCGUGGACUUUUGUUCAGGUUUUAGCUUGGAAGAGCACAUGAGUGCAAGUUUGGUUCUAUAUAUUUAUUUCGUGAACUUUUGUUUUGGUUUAGCUGUUUAACGUCUUGUGGAGUAAUCACAGGGCGCAAGGGAAAUGAGGCAGGGACGGUCAGCAGUAUGACCGUCCUGAACGGUUAAUGGCCACGAUCUGGCCUCAAAAAUUUGUGCGGCUGAAAUUACAAGUUGUAACUCGAUUUUCACGCCAUGUGUGGGUCCCACAAAAAUUUAUUCUAAAGUUACGCGAUGUGCAAUAAAAGUUACACGAUGUACAAAGAAAGUUACGCGCAGUUGAAAAUGGCCAAAACCGUCCGGGACGGUGCAACCGUCCGUGCCCCGAGUCCGCAAGGGACAGGUGCAUGUCCUGAGUUUUUGAGUUUUGCAGUAAUCAUGAGGUACAACAGUGUUAUGGAUGUAAUAUAAUAGUGGACUCAAGGGCUGGCCCAAAUAAUUUUUGUGCAAAAUCACUUACUAGGCAUCACAACUAUUUCAACUUACAGGGGAUAACUUCACUAUAAAGGUGCGAUGCAGUUGUAACUUGAACCAACAGUUCAAUUUGUGGUUAGCAUGUUAAUUUCCUAUUUUCUACUUUAAUUACGAUACUUGCUUUUUGAACUUACAUGGGAUAAAUCUGUUAUUAUCUAGAAAGCAUGAUGAGUCUUUAGUAUCCUUGAUUCUGGUGAAUUAAACCAAAAAAAGAACAACCAAUUCAUUAUAUUCUGUCAAUAAUUAAUAUCAAUUAUGCCAACAAUUACAAUAAUGAAAAACAUCCCUUGAGUUAUAGUGAAUGAAAUCAAAAAAAGAUGAACCAAUUUUAUUUAUAAAUUAUAAAAAAAUAUAUGGUGAAUCUUAGUUAUUAAUAAUAUAAGCAAAAAAUGAUAUUAGUUUUUGCAAUGCCAAAAUUACACUCCUCUCUAAUAAAUGGACAAAUUGCAUUGCAUUUCAUCAUUAAUAAAUACUAUCAAACAUGCUAGCAGUUACAAAAAUGAAAUAUUCCUUACUUUUUAUUUACUAAAAGAAAGAAGAACAAUUUUUUUUUUUUUUUUUUUUUUACAAAAUCCAAGUUUAGAGAGUACUUCUAACAUGAAACAAAAUAUAAUAAAUUGAUACUAUGAGUCUCUUAAAAAGUACCACAAGUCCUUUUAUUUUUUGGAUACAAGUAAAUUAAGUCUUCAGAGCACCUUUUUAAUAUGCGUAUAUUAGUAUUGAGUGAAAAAAAAAUUUAAUAAAAAAUAUAUUAGGAAAUGGAGUACCGAGGUAGGCAAAGAGUUUUAUGUUGGAAAUUUAUUUAUUUAAAUUGCAAUAAAGAUUAAAUUUAAGGAACUUUAUCAAUCAUAUUCUUGUAACAACUAACAAUAUUAAACUACAAUUAAUGAAUAUUAUAUUCAUCAAUGCCAAUCAUAAUAAUAAUUAAAAAGCUGAAACAUCCCUAUGAGUUAUGGUGAGUUAAGCCAAAAAAUAUUUUUUUUAUAAAAUUAUCAAUUUCAAGGAGUACUUCAAAGGUGAAUAAAAAUAUAUCUAAAUUCAGUUUGACUAUUAUAUAAUAAAUAAUCUUAACAUCUUACAAUUUUUAAUCAUAUAAACUCUAUAAUCAUAAAGCAUGUCAUCAGUGAGAAAUACAAAUAAGUUCCACCAAAUCAAAACAUUUCUAUUCAAAGUUAAGCUAUUCAAAUUCGAACAAUGAAAUUUCAAUAUAUUUAAAUACAAUUAUAAUUACAAUAGCACUAUAGAUCAUUUUACAAUACAUCGUUAGCAAAAAAUAAUAAUUAUUAGAAAAUCUCACUAAAACUAAUAAACAAUUCAUAAAACGACUUAAAGUGGAGCAACAAAUUAUUCAAAAAAAUUAAAAAAUUUAACUCAAAUGGCAUAAAAAAGAAAAUUUAGGUCAAAUGUCAUAAAAAUGAAAAUUGCGGUCAUCUAAAUUUAACCAAAAGACAAAAAUAUUGAUAUUGUUACAAAAUAAAAGUGCUCUUGGAACAAAGAAUGAUUUAUUGCUUGUGCAUUUGUAUUGGUUAGGGCAAACUAAAUUCAUAAAAAAAUAUAAAAAAAUAUAAAUAUUAUAUAUCACAUUUUUUGUCUCGAUUACAUUUAUUCCUUCAAAAUAAUCGAUUUUCUAAAAAUUUUAAAGAAAAAAAUCUAAAAGCAUCAUGUUCACAUGCAAAGCAUGUGCUUCAUUACUAGUGCACUAUAAAGGUGUGAUGCAAUUAUAUUUUUAACAUAUAGUUCAAUUUUUGGUUAGUAUGUUAAUUCCCGUCUUCUACUUUUAUUAUGAUACUUGUUAUUUGAACUUACAGGGGACAAAUUCACUAUAAAGGCAUAAUGCAAUUAUAUUUUGAACCUAUAGUUCAAUUUGUGGUUAAUAUGUUAAUUUCCUAUUUUCUACUUUUAUUAUGAUACUUGCAAUUCAGGUUGGCAAAUCUUUGACUAAAUGGCUAAAGCUUGUGGUGAAUCAAGUUUUUGCAACUUCUUGUCAUAUUUCUUUAUCAAGCCUGGAACAAUAGCUGAGUUAUGUUGUAAUGUGUUAAGAGAAAAAAAAAAUAAAGGUGCCCCUAUCGACACCCGUGGGGGUGAGGAAAGCUAGACGGGGCAGGAAGAGUUAUAUGACAACAGGACGGGCGUCGGGGAUCCCUCCUCCAUCCCAAAACUGUCCCAUUGUCAUUCUUAUUUUUGGGUCAUUUUUGGAUCCUCACACCCUUAGGUUAAUGAGAAAUGUUUAUUUUGUAUAUUUUUAAUGUAUUUUAUUACUUAGAUUUUGGUGUGUUUUAGUCAUUUUUAUAGCUAAAUAAGUAGAUUUCUAGUAAAUUUUACAUUUUGUGGUUUAAGUAAGAAAAGGUAUAUUUCUAUAGAUUCAAGUGGUAAAAACUUCAUGUUCUUGUAGGAUUUAAUAUUGCAAUCAUCAAAUGGACUAAAGUGAAAAGAUAUUUGCAUGAUUCUUGAUUAUUUGAAGUGAUUUGAGAUGACAUGAAGUUCAAAAUAUUCAAAUGAUGAAAUGCAAUCACAUGGCCAAAAAGAAAAGAUUGACAGCCCUGACACAUUGUGCUAUUUCAACUAUAACUUGAACUAUAAAUGAUGAAUUGAGAUGAUUCUAGAAGCAUUGUAAAUAUAAGAUCCAAGGCUAUAUUUCUUAUUAGACAUCAAAGUCGAAUUCGCUCAUUUCAAGGGUCAAAAAGUCAAAAUACAGAGAUGCAUUUCUGCUGCCAAGAUCUGGAAAAGACUGCUAACUAGUCAGGGUUAUUUUUCUCAUUUCUUAGCCUCCAGAGUUCCAAAUGACAUGAUUCUUAAUGCACUGGAAAGCUAACUCAAACAAAUUUUAUGUUUUGUGCUAGAGUUAGUUCAGCUUCCAUUAUUGAGAAAUUUGUAGUUAAACUUAGUGCAAAAACAGGACAAUUUUCAAGAUUCAUCAAAAAAGUGCAAACCUGCUGUAGAAAAAACACAGAUCAAAAAGUGACCUCAUCUGCAUAUUCAUAUUGUGGCUGUGCAAGUUGUUCUGUAACUUACAACUUGUUCACAUAGCUUUUUAGACCAUUUUUCUGAUCAUAUUUCGACUGUGUUGCUUAAGAAAUCUUGAAGAUUUCAAGAACUUUUGAUGAUUUCAAUAAGCAAUUUGGAACAAAAUUAACAAGUUGUGUGGGAGCUUUAAUCUUCUAUAAAUAGGGUCUUUUGUGAACAUUUCUUGUAACUUUGGAGCCUAGAGAAACUACUACAAAAGUGUGGUCUUUACUAAAACUUCUUAGUUCAUUAGUUAGUAUAGUUUAGUAGAUUAUUCCAUCUUGUAUCAUGCUAAGCAAGGAUGAAGAUUAAGGAUUGAAAAUGGAUAGUUACGAGCUCAAGUGAUAAGGGUGACUUCUCUCCAAGCACUUUAUUUCUUAUAUUGAUUAUAAUAUUUGGUUAUAAUAUAAGUUUGGAUCUAGUUUUUAUAUCUUUUAUGUUUUGCUAGUUUUAUGCCUAGGAAUGUAGAUGAACUAUCUAUGCUUGUUAUGUGAUGUUUUCAUGGUUAUUUGAAUUAUGUCUUAUUCAAGUUAUUUAGCACUUUUGUUAUUAUAAUUAUAUUUAAGUUGGCACCAUUAAUUGUAAUUAUUUAAAAGUGCUAUUUCAUCAAUGAAAAUUGUGAUCCAAUACUAGUUCAUGGAAGUGUUAAACUUGUGUAUUCUCGUGAAAGUAGGGAAACACCUUUAUAACUUUAACCAAAUAAUUUUAUAGAAUUUAAUGAGUUUAUAGCUAGUUUUUUCAUCACAAAACAUAGGUGAGAGAUAGUUACAUGUAUCAUUGGUACAUAGGUGAAAGCGAGUAUCAUGUAUAUUAGAAAAUUAACCAUGACUUAGCUAAGAUAAUCAACUUCAUUUAACUAGUAAUUUUCACUUGCAAGAAUAGAUAGGAAUUCUAUAACCCUAGGUACAUUUUCAAUGUUAUUUUUACUAAUUACUACUCUUGUUGCAUGAUUGUAGCAUAACAAGAACAUGUACGAGCGUCAAUGACAUUGCUUCAAAGAGGGGUUGUACCCCAUCACAGCUUGCAUUGGCCUGGGUGCAUCAUCAGGGAAACGAUGUUUGUCCCAUACCUGGCACUACCAAGAUUGAAAACCUGAAUCAGAAUACAGGAGCUUUAUCUGUAAAACUGUCUGCGGAAGAUAUGGCUGAACUGGAAUCCACUGCUUCAGCUGGAGUCAAGGGUGAUAGUCAUGGCCCGGCCUUAAUACUUGGAAAACCUCUGAUACUCCACCUCUGUC
rnacentral:lncRNA from 1 species